rnacentral:rRNA from 1 species
CCCUUAGAUGUUCUGGGCCGCACGCGCGCUACACUGAUGCAUUCAACGAGUCCAACCUUGACCGAGAGGUCCGGGUAAUCUUUGAAACUGUAUCGUGAUGGGGCUAGAUUAUUGCAAUUAUUAAUCUUCAACGAGGAAUGCCUAGUAAGCGUGAUUCAUCAAAUCGCGUUGAUUACGUCCCUGCCCUUUGUACACACCGCCCGUCGCUCCUACCGAUUGAGUGUGUUGGUGAGGAGUUUGGAUUGGCCUCGGAAGGUGGUUCGCCACCGUCCGUAGCUGAGAAGUUCUCCAAACCGCCCCACUUAGAGGAAGGAGAAGUCGUAACA